rnacentral:rRNA from 1 species
AUUGAACGCUGGCGGCAUGCCUUACACAUGCAAGUCGAACGGCAGCACGGGAGCAAUCCUGGUGGCGAGUGGCGAACGGGUGAGUAAAGUAUCGGAACGUGCCCAGUCGUGGGGGAUAACGUAGCGAACGUUACGCUAAUACCGCAUACGAUCUAUGGAUGAAAGCGGGGGAUCGCAAGACCUCGCGCGAGUGGAGCGGCCGAUAUCAGAUAAGGUGGUGGGUGGAGUAAAGGCUCACCAAGCCGACGAUCUAUAGCUGGUCUGAGAGGACGACCAGCCACACUGGGACUGAGACACGGCCCAGACUCCUACGGGAGGCAGCAGUGGGGAAUUUUGGACAAUGGGCGCAAGCCUGAUCCAGCCAUGCCGCGUGCAGGAUGAAGGCCUUCGGGUUGUAAACUGCUUUUGUACGGAACGAAAAGGUUUGACUUAAUACGUUGGACUCAUGACGGUACCGUAAGAAUAAGCACCGGCUAACUACGUGCCAGCCGCCGCGGUAA